rnacentral:rRNA from 1 species
UAGGGAAUCUUCCACAAUGGACGCAAGUCUGAUGGAGCAAUGCCGCGUGAGUGAAGAAGGCUUUCGGGUCGUAAAACUCUGUUAUUGAAGAAGAACGUGUGUGACAGUAACUGGUCAUGCAGUGACGGUAUUCAAUCAGAAAGUCACGGCUAACUACGUGCCAGCAGCCGCGGUAAUACGUAGGUGGCAAGCGUUGUCCGGAUUUAUUGGGCGUAAAGCGAGUGCAGGCGGUCUUUUAAGUCUGAUGUGAAAGCCUUCGGCUUAACCGAAGAAGGGCAUCGGAAACUGGGAGACUUGAGUGCAGAAGAGGAGAGUGGAACUCCAUGUGUAGCGGUGAAAUGCGUAGAUAUAUGGAAGAACACCAGUGGCGAAGGCGGCUCUCUGGUCUGUAACUGACGCUGAGGCUCGAAAGCGUGGGUAGCAAACAGGAUUAGAUACCCUGGUAGUCCACGCCGUAAACG